CGCUCUAAACCCCCUCAUUUUUGUUUUUUUUAAAAGCCGGGUUCCGUAUUGGAAAAUUUUCCCAGUUUUACGAGAUCACAACAAUCCUCUGAAGCUGCCGGAGUCUGUGUAAGCAAGAGCAAAGCAUUAAGUAUACACGCAAAUAAGUGUUGUCAUUUGAGGCAGCAUACUUGUGUCCUUACAGAUUUGUAGCUCAUUAUCGGUUAAAAAAAGAGGCAUUUGUAAUGGUUCUAAAUACUAUCGAAAGGUAUAUACAACGAACUUCCAUUUCGCCAAUUAUUAAGUUGUGCGCAGUGCUUCGCUUCCUAGCAGAAGGAUCAUAUUAGCGUUCCGCAGGGAAUGAUAUGAAUAUAAGUUUGGAUAGAAGCACUGUAUCUGAAAUUUUAACACAAAUGUUAAGACUUUUGGAGAAUCACAUUUGCCUUCAAUGGGUCAAGUUGAAAAUGGAUCCAGACGAAAAAACAGCGUCGAGGGAUUAUUUUUUACAACAAAUUCAAAAUUCCUUGCAUCGUUGGAUGUAUCGAUGGGACGCAUAUUCAAAUAAUUAAACCUCAUAACAAUGAACAUUUAUUCUUCAACAGAAAAGGAUAUUUUAGUAUGAAUGCGAUGAUUACUUUUGGAGAAUCACAUUUGCCUUCAAUGGGUCAAGUUGAAAAUGGAUCCAGACGAAAAAACAGCGUCGAGGGAUUAUUUUUUACAACAAAUUCAAAAUUCCUUGCAUCGUUGGAUGUAUCGAUGGGACGCAUAUUCAAAUAAUUAAACCUCAUAACAAUGAACAUUUAUUCUUCAACAGAAAAGGAUAUUUUAGUAUGAAUGCGAUGAUUAUUUGUGACAGCAAUAUGAUAAUACGUGCGGUUGGUUCACGAUACCCCGGCACAAGCCACGAUUCUUUCGUAUGGAAUGUAAGCAAUGCGCGGCAAUAUUUUCUACGGGAAUAUGCAAAUGGGGACCGAUCAUCCAGACUACUGGGCGAUUCCGGAUGUGGUAUCGAUGCAUUUAUGUUAACACCCUAUUGGGAUCCCCAAUAUGCAACUCAACAAUACAAAUUUAAUAACGCGCAUUCCUCAGCCCGCAACAUAAUAGAGCGAACUAUAGGUGUUUUGAUUUCGUUGCUUGCAAAAAACUUUACACUAUCAACCUAGGAAGGUAGUUAAAAUUGUAAAUGUCUUUUGCGCGCUGCAUAACAUCUGUCGGCAGUAAAAUGUAGAAUGGAAUGAAAAUGCUAAUUUUACUGCAUCAGAAAAUGUUCAUGAAGACACUUUUAUGCUGCAAAACAGCAAUAUACAAAAUGAGGGCCGUAGAAUAAGGGAUGAGAUAGCUAAUAGUCUUUAAGCAAUAAUGCCUUACAACAUUGUAUACUAUGGUCUAUGUUCCAUGCAAACUUUGAAUUUAUUUAGGAGGUAGAGAGAAACGGAGGUAUUAAUUAAUGUAUAAAAGAUAUUAAAGGAAAUAGUUUAUGUGUUUAUGGAAACACCAACAACGCAAAUGCAAAUAGUUUACUCUGCAUUUACAUACGUGUUUUACGACUUCUUUUUUAAUUACAGAUAAUUAAUGCACGCGUUUUGUAUGUAAUGCAUUUUACCAAACUUGUGUAUUUAACUUUAAAUUUACCCACGUGGUCCAAUGAACAAGCUAUUGAGCAACAAUACAAGAGAGUACACCACUUGUGAACGGGUGACGUAAUCUUGGUGUUAUAUAUAAAAUUUGGGGUCGUACUUUCGUAUCGCUCUAUUAAGGCCACCUAUAAGGGGAAUUAUGAUCAGGAUUAGGAGCUGGUUAAAUAGGCAAAUAAAACAAAACAUAAGGUGCGAGUGCUUGGAUACACCUUACAUUCGAACCGAUGAUGCAGAGACGGUCGACGAAGAAGUCUUUGCUUUGGAUGAUUUAAAACCUGAUGAAUUUGUGACAACUAUAGUUAAAUAACGUGUCGCUUAAGUCGGAGGUUAUGCUUUGCAGGUUGCCAAGUAAAAGGUAAGUGAAGGAAAUUAAUGAUUAUUAAAGCAUGAAUAUGAAUAUUCCCUUUUUGCUUUGAAUAAUUCUUUAGCAGGUAUCAUCGGGGACCUUAUCUUGCUCCAGUACCCAUUUAACCAACAACGGGCACAUGUCAAGAAUGUCAAUGAGGAUUUUGUGGAAUUGCUGAUUCUGCUACGAAACUAUGGCAAGCUGGUGAAAGUGCAUACGAAAAUG